AUGGGUUCCCAAGGAAGCGAAGAGAAAGGCACCGGACAAGAGGAAGGGUUGGAAGGCGGCGGCAGGAUAGAGGAGAGGAGUCAGAAGAUGGCUCCGGUGAAGAAGCCCAAAAAGGCCAAGCGGAAGAUCAGUGACUCCGGCGAGACCAAGAUCGAUGACUCCAUCGAAGCGAAGACCAAGGACGCCAGCAAGGUCAAGAGAACCAAGUCCGGCGGCUCGUUGGCGUUGCUUCCGGCGGACCUUCGUGGCCCCGAUACGGAAUGGUGGUAUGUCUUCCUCAGCAAGCACGCGGAACUCCACAAGGAAGCCGAAUCAGGUGGUCGUGCUCCAGUGCCUUCAGAUGACGAGGAAGCGUUCAGGUACUUCUUCAGGACAUCGAGGAGGACUUUUGACUACAUCUGCUCGAUUGUACGGGAGGAUUUGAUAUCGAGGCCGCCUUCUGGGCUGAUCAACAUUGAGGGGAGACUGCUUAGUGUGGAGAAGCAAGUAGCAAUUGCCAUGAGGAGGCUGGCAUCUGGGGAUUCGCAGGUGUCCGUUGGAGCUGCUUUUGGUGUGGGACAGUCUACUGUUUCCCAAGUCACAUGGAGGUUUAUCGAGUCAAUGGAAGAGAGGGCUCGGCAUCAUUUGGUGUGGCCGGGCCAGGAGAGGAUGGAGGAGAUCAAAGCUAGGUUGGAGGCUGUCUCUGGUCUACCGAAUUGCUGCGGUGCCAUUGAUGCCACACACAUUAUCAUGACGCUUCCUGCUGUUGAGUCAUCUGAAGACUGGUGUGACCCUGCGAAAAACUACAGUAUGUUCCUACAAGGUAUUGUUGACGAUGAGAUGAGAUUUAUUGAUAUUGUCACCGGUUGGCCAGGGAGCAUGACAUUCUCACGCUUGUUAAAAUGCUCUGGGUUUUACAAGCUCUGUGAGGCUGGAAAACGCUUGAAUGGUCCUGUCAGAACUUCAGGGGAGGAUUCAGAAAUAAGGGAGUUCAUUGUUGGUGACAUGUGUUAUCCUCUACUGCCAUGGCUUAUGACUCCAUACCAAGGAGAAAGUCUAUCUACCCCAAUGGUCAACUUUAAUGCCCGGCAAAAAACUGCAAGGAUGCUUGGAACAAGAGCAUUGGCACGGCUGAAAGGCUCCUGGAAGAUCUUGCACAAAGUCAUGUGGAGGCCUGAUAAAAAUAAGUUACCGAGUAUCAUCCUGGUGUGCUGCCUGCUUCACAAUAUAAUUCUGGACUGCAACGACAAACUGCUUCUGGAUAUUCAGCUUCCAGAUCAUCAUGAUAAUGGUUAUAACGAAGAGAACUGCCAGCAAGAGAAUCCUAAUGGCAAAGUAAUUAGAGAGAUCAUUACAGGAUAUCUCCCAACUUAUGAAGCAACAUCAAACUGA
rnacentral:rRNA from 1 species